rnacentral:tRNA from 2 species
CAUUAAAGAAUUAAGGGCGUAUGGAGGAUGCCUUGACACGAAAGAGCGAAGAAGGUCGUGGCGUGACUGCGAUAAGCUUCGGGGAGCCGUCUAGCGGGCUUUGAUCCGGAGAUGACCGAAUGGGGGAACCCCAUCGAGCAAACCUCGAUGACCCGGCGCAAGCUGGGAGCGUACCUGGCGAAGUGAAACAUCUCAGUAGCCAGAGGAAAAGAAAUCAACAAGAUUCCCUUAGUAGCGGCGAGCGAAAAGGGAUAAGCCUAAACUUUUUUAACGCAAGUUAAAAAGGGGUAAUAAGGAUAGAACACUUGAAUUUUUAUCGUUGCGCUUUCGAAGGCAGCGGUAAAAAUUUGAAAGAAGUUACAAAUUCCAAAGUUAGCAGAACGGCCUUGGAACAGCCGGCCAAAGAAGGUGAUAGCCCUGUAAGCGAAAACUUCUGGAACUUCUGUUUUAUUGCGGCGCAAGCCGCCUUGCUUGAGUAGCCCGGGAUAAGAAUGUCCUGGGUGAAUUUGCCCAUACUACUGGGUAAGGCUAAAUAUCUUUCGUGAUCGAUAGUGAACCAGUACCGUGAGGGAAAGGUGAAAAGCACCCCGGUGAGGGGAGUGAAAUAGCAACUGAAACCAUAUGCCUACAAAGAGCGGAAGUCCUUCGGCGGCAGCAAUGCCGUCUGGGAUGACCGUGUGCCUAUUGAAGAAUGACCCAACGAGUUUAUCCAAAUUGCUCUAUAAGUGCCUCUGGCACGUAUGGAAAGGGAAACCGAGUGUUAAAAGCGCGUAUUAGAACUAAAUAAAAUUUUCUUUAAAAAGAAAGUUUUAAUAGUUCUAGAAGCAGUUUGGGUAAGACCCGAAGCCAGGCGAGCUAACCAUGCCCAGGAUGAAGGUUGUCGAAAGACAACUGGAGGUCCGAACUGGUUGGUAGCGCAAUACCAUCGGAUGAGGUGUGGUUCGUAGUGAAAAGCUUAUCGAGCCUGGUAAUAGCUGGUUCUCCCCGAAAUGCCUUUAGGGGCAGCGGCGGAUUGUAGUUGAGGGGGUAGAGCACUGAUUGGUUUGCCGUGCCCGCAAGGGUAGGCUUACCAAAUAAACUCCGAAUACCUCAGCGUAAUUUCCGCCAGUGAGUAAGCGAGGGCAAAGCUUCGUUUACGCGAGGGAAACAGCCCAGAUCAUCAAUUAAGGUCCCAAAAUCUAUGCUAAGUGAAAAGGAAGUAUUCUGCCUUAGACAGGUAGGAUGUUGGCUUAGAAGCAGCCAUCAUUUAAAAAGUGCGUAAUAGCUUACUACUCGAUUUCGCCGCAAGGCGACGAGGCAGGAUGCGCCGAAAAUUUAUAGGGGCUAAGCAUAGUACCGAAAUUAUGGGUUUGAUGAUUUCGAAAAGGAUUUGUGGUGCCGUAGCUCAGUCAGAGCACUGGGUCCCGGGCCCAGAGGUCGACGGUUCAAAUCCGUCCGGCGCCACCAACCUGUCGGAUUAAAAUCAGGCGAGACCUGAUAAUCCGAUCUUUUUCGAAAUCAUCAAGCGGUAGGGGAGCAUUCUGAUUGCUGUGAAGGUGAACUGUGAAGUUUGCUGGAGCGUUCAGAAGGGAGAAUGUUGGGAUGAGUAACCGCAAGUGGCGUGAAAACCGCCACCGCCGAAAGCCUAAGGUUUCCUCCGCGAUGUCAAUCAUCGGAGGGUUAGGCGUCCCUAAGCGUAACCUAGCUUGCGGGCUAGGGAUCGCGAUGGUGAGCCGGUUAAUAUUCCGGCCCCGCUUACAUAUUCGAAGGAGUGACGGGCUAAAUUAGAUCGAGCGCAUUAUUGGAUUUGACGUCUUUGCUCAUAGAGUGGGAACCAGGCAAAUCCGGUUCCAGCCGAAAGGCGCACUCGAGAGUGAAAGAAAUGGCCGUUAGGCCAGAUUCGAUUGACGAGGGCUCCAAGAAAAGCUUCUAAGAUUAAUAUGUAAGCGCACGUACCGAAAACCGAAACAGGUGGGCUGGUGUAAGUGCACCAAGGCGAACGGGUGAUUAUUGGCUAAGGAACUCGGCAAAAAAGCGGCCGUAAGUUCGCGAUAAGGCCUUCCCCAGCUAACGCAAGUUAGAUGGGGACGCAGCUAAAGACCCUCUGGCGACUGUUUAUCAAAAACACAACUCCGUGCUAAGCCGUAAGGCGCUGUAUACGGGGUGACGCUUGUCCGGUGCCGGAACGUUAACGGUGAAGGUGGCGGGUAGCAAUACCCUCUGCCAACGCCCGAAGCGCCGGUGAACGACGGCAGUAACUAUAACUGUCUAAAAGUAGCAAAAUACCUUGUGGGGUAAGUUCCCACGCGCAUGAAUAGCGGAACGACUGGAGGACUGUCUCAGCCAAUAGCCCGGUGAAAAUGCAAUGUCGGUAAAGAUGCCGACUACCCGCACCUAGACGGAAAGACCCCGGAAGCUUUACUGUAGCUUGGUAUUGGUCUAUGGGUUUUAAUGCGUAGCGUAGUGGGUACACUUUGAAGCGUCUCUCUCGGGAGACGUGGAGUGGCCAAUGAAACACCCAUCUUUAAAAUCUAUAGCUCUAACCGGUGACACCCUAAAAGCGUGAAAUGAAAAUUUCAAAUUUUUAGGGUUUCAUCGAGACAGUGCCUGGCGGGCAGUUUUUGUGGGGCACAAUCCUCCUAAAAGGUAAUGGAGGAGUUCAUCAAGGUUGGCUAGCUCCGGAUGGAAAUCGGAGCGAUAGUGUAAAGGCACAAGCCAGCUUAACUGCAAGGCGGAUAUGCCGCGCAGAUGCGAAAGCAGGACCUAGUGAACCGACCGUGGCUCGUAGGAGCGCGGAAGAUCAUCAGAUAAAAGCUACUCCGGGGAUAAACUCUGCGUAACACAUACAUAAUUUUGUGUUACAAUAAGAGUAUGUUGUCCCGUUUGUCCGUAAGGACAAACAUGAUUACGGCUUAUAACGAAGAACCUAUAGAACGGUCUUUCCUGUGCGAAAGCACAUUUCUCUUCUAUAGCAACCUCGUGGGAAGUCGUGAGCGUCUUGAAUCUAAACAAAACACAAUUAGCUGUAAUUUACGGCUCAAUUAUGGGCGAUGCUUAUUUGCAGUCCAACGGCACGAAUGCCAGAUUGCGAUUUGAACAUUCUCUUAAUCAAGAGCAGUACGUUGUUUGGAAAUUUAAUUUCCUAAAGAAUAUAUUUUCAGAUUCGGCUAUUGUAAAAAUUAACAGGAUUCAUCCUAAAACCAAGCAAGAAUAUAAAUACGUUCGAUGCCAAUCUAAAACAUUGCCGGAAUUGAAGAAAAUUAAAGUUAUUUUCUAUCCAGCGGGCAAAAAGAUUGUGCCGUUAAGUAUUAAAAAGUAUUUGAUAGAACCUAUUUCUCUUGCGGUGUGGUUUAUGGAUGACGGAUAUUAUUAUCUUAGAGAUAAAUGCGGAUAUUUAUAUCUUGGAAAUAUAACGAAAGAAGAAGCUGAAGUUUGCAGCGAUACCUUGCAGAAUAAUUUUAAUCUAAAAACUAAGGUUCUAGCAAAGAAAAAAGGGUAUGCGUUAUAUUUUUCAAGAUUAGAGAUGUUAAAACUCAAAAAAGUAGUUUCUGAAUUCAUGAUCCCAAUGUUUAGAUACAAGUUACCUCAUUGACCCCGUAACGACUUGUUCUGGGUACAGUUUUUAAAAACUGGCCAGACUUAUAGCCCCCAUUCAUUAAUGGCUAUAAUACGCCGUCUCCAGUCUUUUUACAGAAAAAGCUGGAUGAAGAUAUAGUCUAAUACAUUAAUGUAUUGAACAGGCUGGUACCGCCCGAGCGUCCUUAGCGACGGCGGUGUUCGGCACCUCGAUGUCGGCUCGGCUUAUCCUGGGACUGAAGAAGGCCCCAAGGGUUUGGCUGUUCGCCAAUUAAAAAGCUACGCGAGAAAUCACGUGUCCAAGUAGUAAUAUUUGGAGCGAGCCAAAUAUAUUUCUUUAUGUUAAAAUUAAAGAAAUAUAUACUCUAGCUUAUAUCGGUAGAACCCAUGAAAAUUAACCCCUUUCACGGGCAGUACCGAGGGAAGAUUAGCUAGGAAUUAAUGCUUACGAGAGAAGAAAAGAAUAUUUUAGUCGGUUCACUUCUCGGAGAUGGAUGUUUAAGAAUAAUGCAGAAAUGCAAAGUUCCAGCAUUCUCAGUUUCUCAUAGUGAAGUUCAGAAAGACUACGUUUUUUGGAAGUAUGAGAAAUUAAAACGGUGGGUUAAAAAUCCGCCGUGGCGAGAAGAGAGAAUCUACCACAAAGAUAAAAGUAGAAAAACUUUUUCUUGGAGAUUUCAAACUUUAAGCAAUGAAGUAUUUUCUGAUUUGUAUCAAACUUUCUAUGAAAAUGGAAAGAAAAUUAUACCGGAAAAUAUAGAAUUUCUGCUUAAAGAUUCACCAUUGAUAUUGGCUGUAUGGCUAAUGGACGAUGGGAAUAAAAAUCAUCAAGCGGUUUUUCUUAACACCCAAUCAUUCUCUCUGAGUGAGCAACAGAAGCUAUGCCAGGUGUUGCAUAAAAUCUAUGGAUUUGAUGCGAAUAUAAACAAACAUAGUAAAAGCAAUGGAGUAGAACUGUAUAGAAUUAGAAUAAAUACCGAGAGCACACGAAAAUUAAAAACCGUUGUGAAGAAUUAUUUAUUACCACUGUUUUACUAUAAAAUUCCUGACUUUUCCCCGUAACGACUUGUGAGUUUAGCUCACAGAUAGUAAGUGAGGAGACUCCUUCGACUGAAGGAAUCAAAGGCUUACUAUAAAACGCUGGUACCCGAACCGAGCUUAGCUCGGAGGGUAGAGAUAUAGUCUGUGCCCCUAGUGAUAGGGGAAGAAUAAAAAACACGGAGCUGGGUUCAAACCGUCGUGAGACAGGUUGGUCCAUAUCUGGUGCGGGCGUUGAUACUUGAGAGGAGUUGUCCCUAGUAAAUAAUUGCUACUUCGCGAAGUAAUUCGCGAUGACAAUUCGGCUAAUAACGGUGGAUGCUCUUGUUUGCCAUGCAAUUCGGUCCGAAAAGCAUGAAUUAAAACUGCCAAGAGUUAAUACCGUGGGAAGUCACCCGCUCAAAUUUUUGGAAAAAAAAUGGCACAACCGAAGUUGUGCAUAGAACUGAUGUUGGGUUUAACUUAAUAGUAAUGAGCGGUAUCGGCAGUAGGUUCAACAAAUGCUUUGUACAAGUAUGUUCCAUCCACACGACCUACCUCAUCUCGUAUUUCGCCUUGGAGUGUGAAAUCUCCAGAGAGACGAUAGUUUCGGCCCUUGAACGGACCGUACUUCAUGGAUACGACCCGACCAUGUAAGGGGACCGUAUCGAGGCAAAUCUGUCCGACAUAACAGAGGGGUUCUCGAGUGUACAGAUAGAUUAUAGCAGUUAUCAUGAUUGCCUCCCCUGAGAUACCAACUUAAAAAGCAUAACGAUUUAUUUUAUAAAUGUCAAGAUUAAACUUGACUCCAAAAAUUUGAGCGUGGUUGACCCCGUAACGACUUGGCCCAUCAUUUAUUGAUGGCCGGAUGGAAAUCUUUUCAGCUUCCAUAAUAUGCCGAUCCCCGAUUCGCCUUUUGCUGGGCUUGCUAUGAGCGAGCAUAGCGAGUCGAAGGGGAAAGAUAUAGUCUGCACUUCUAGUGAUAGGAGAUUAUGUGACGAGAGGACCGGGAUGAACGAACCUCUGGUCUACGAGCUGUCCUGCCAAGGGCAUUGCUCGGUAGCUAUGUUCGGUUCUGAUAAGCGCUGAAAGCAUAUAAGCGCGAAGCAGGCCUCAAGAUUAGGUAUCGUAGAUCCGCAGUAGACUACUGCGUUAAUAGGACUCAGGUGUAAGCACAGUAAUGUGUUGAGCCGAGAGCCACUAAUAGAUCAUCU